rnacentral:rRNA from 1 species
UACGUGAGGGUGCAAGCGUUAAUCGGAAUUACUGGGCGUAAAGCGUGCGCAGGCGGUUUGUAAGUCUGUCGUGAAAGCCCCGGGCUCAACCUGGGAAUGGCCAUGGAAACUGGCGAACUGGAGUGUGGCAGAGGGGGUGGAAUUCCGCGUGUAGCAGUGAAAUGCGUAGAGUAUGACGGAGGAACACCGAGUGGCGAAGGCGGGUCGCUGGGCCGAUACUGACGCUGAGGAGCGAAAGCGUGGGGAGCGAACAGG